AAAUUGAAGAGUUUGAUCAUGGCUCAGAUUGAACGCUGGCGGCAGGCCUAACACAUGCAAGUCGAACGGUAACAGGAAGCAGCUUGGCUGCUUUGCUGACGAGUGGCGGACGGGUGAGUAAUGUCUGGGAAACUGCCUGAUGGAGGGGGAUAACUACUGGAAACGGUGGCUAAUACCGCAUAACGUCGCAAGACCAAAGAGGGGGACCUUCGGGCCUCUUGCCAUCAGAUGUGCCCAGAUGGGAUUAGCUUGUUGGUGAGGUAACGGCUCACCAAGGCGACGAUCCCUAGCUGGUCUGAGAGGAUGACCAGCCACACUGGAACUGAGACACGGUCCAGACUCCUACGGGAGGCAGCAGUGGGGAAUAUUGCACAAUGGGCGCAAGCCUGAUGCAGCCAUGCCGCGUGUAUGAAGAAGGCCUUCGGGUUGUAAAGUACUUUCAGCGGGGAGGAAGGUGUUGUGGUUAAUAACCGCAGCAAUUGACGUUACCCGCAGAAGAAGCACCGGCUAACUCCGUGCCAGCAGCCGCGGUAAUACGGAGGGUGCAAGCGUUAAUCGGAAUUACUGGGCGUAAAGCGCACGCAGGCGGUCUGUCAAGUCGGAUGUGAAAUCCCCGGGCUCAACCUGGGAACUGCAUUCGAAACUGGCAGGCUUGAGUCUUGUAGAGGGGGGUAGAAUUCCAGGUGUAGCGGUGAAAUGCGUAGAGAUCUGGAGGAAUACCGGUGGCGAAGGCGGCCCCCUGGACAAAGACUGACGCUCAGGUGCGAAAGCGUGGGGAGCAAACAGGAUUAGAUACCCUGGUAGUCCACGCCGUAAACGAUGUCUACUUGGAGGUUGUGCCCUUGAGGCGUGGCUUCCGGAGCUAACGCGUUAAGUAGACCGCCUGGGGAGUACGGCCGCAAGGUUAAAACUCAAAUGAAUUGACGGGGGCCCGCACAAGCGGUGGAGCAUGUGGUUUAAUUCGAUGCAACGCGAAGAACCUUACCUGGUCUUGACAUCCACAGAACUUUCCAGAGAUGGAUUGGUGUCUUCGGGAACUGUGAGACAGGUGCUGCAUGGCUGUCGUCAGCUCGUGUUGUGAAAUGUUGGGUUAAGUCCCGCAACGAGCGCAACCCUUAUCCUUUGUUGCCAGCGGUCCGGCCGGGAACUCAAAGGAGACUGCCAGUGAUAAACUGGAGGAAGGUGGGGAUGACGUCAAGUCAUCAUGGCCCUUACGACCAGGGCUACACACGUGCUACAAUGGCGCAUACAAAGAGAAGCGACCUCGCGAGAGCAAGCGGACCUCAUAAAGUGCGUCGUAGUCCGGAUUGGAGUCUGCAACUCGACUCCAUGAAGUCGGAAUCGCUAGUAAUCGUGGAUCAGAAUGCCACGGUGAAUACGUUCCCGGGCCUUGUACACACCGCCCGUCACACCAUGGGAGUGGGUUGCAAAAGAAGUAGGUAGCUUAACCUUCGGGAGGGCGCUUACCACUUUGUGAUUCAUGACUGGGGUGAAGUCGUAACAAGGUAACCGUAGGGGAACCUGCGGUUGGAUCACCUCCUUA
rnacentral:rRNA from 1 species